AGAGUUUGAUCAUGGCUCAGAGCGAACGCUGGCGGCAGGCCUAACACAUGCAAGUCGAGCGGGCGCCGCAAGGUGUCAGCGGCAGACGGGAGAGUAACACGUGGGAACGUGCCCUUCGGUUCGGAAUAACUCGGGGAAACCCGAGCUAAUACCGAAUACGCCCUUACGGGGAAAGAUUUAUCGCCGAUGGAGCGGCCCGCGUCUGAUUAGCUAGUUGGUGAGAUAACGGCUCACCAAGGCUACGAUCAGUAGCUGGUCUGAGAGGAUGAUCAGCCUCACUGGGACUGAGACACGGCCCAGACUCCUACGGGAGGCAGCAGUCGGGAAUUUUGGGCAAUGGGCGAAAGCCUGACCCAGCAACGCCGCGUGAAGGAUGAAAUCCCUCGGGAUGUAAACUUCGUAAGAACGGGAAGAAUAAGUGGGGGACAAUACCCCCCAUGAUGACGGUACCGUUUGUAAGCUCCGGCUAACUCCGUGCCAGCAGCGGCGGUAAUUC
rnacentral:rRNA from 1 species